rnacentral:rRNA from 1 species
UACAGAGGUGGCAAGCGUUGUUCGGAAUUACUGGGCGUAAAGGGCGCGUAGGCGGGGAGGUAAGUCGGGUGUGAAAUCCCUCGGCCCAACCGAGGAACUGCGCCCGAGACUGCUUCUCUUGAGUCCCGGAGAGGAAGGUGGAAUUCCCGGUGUAGCGGUGAAAUGUGUAGAGAUCGGGAGGAACACCGGUGGCGAAGGCGGCCUUCUGGACGGUGACUGACGCUGAGGCGCGAAAGCGUGGGGAGCAAACGGG